rnacentral:rRNA from 1 species
AUUGAACGCUGGCGGUAGGCCUAACACAUGCAAGUCGAACGAGUGGCGGACGGGUGAGUAAUGUCUGGGAAACUGCCUGAUGGAGGGGGAUAACUACUGGAAACGGUAGCUAAUACCGCAUACACUAGUAUGUGCCCAGCGGGGAUUAGCUUGUUGGUGGGGUAAGGGCUCACCAAGGCGGCAAUCCCUAGCUGGUCUGAGAGGAUGACCAGCCACACUGGAACUGUGACACGGUCCAGACUCCUACGGGAGGCAGCAGUGGGGAAUAUUGCACAAUGGGCGCAAGCCUGAUGCAGCCAGGCCGCGUGUAUGAAGAAGGCCUUCGGGUUGUAAAGUACUUUCAGCGGGGAGGCGUUACCCGCAGAAGAAGCACCGGCUAACUCCGUGCCAGCCGCCGCGGUAAUAC